AGCCGGUGGGGGCUGAGCCGGGACUCGUCAGCACCGCUGCCCCUCUCAGGCCCGGGAGCCCGCGUACCUGGCAGUCAGUCAGUCUUUCCGCAGCGCCGAGGGCCAUUCAUGCUGCAGAUGUCUGAGUGACAAUUACCUGUAAGGCACAUCAUGCAGGGAGCAGCCACCUCUGGUGACACUUGACAGAUGGCCUCUCAUUUCAUACUCAGCACAGGUGUGAAAGCAUGGAUUAUGACUCCGAGAGGGAAGCAGCAUUUUAAAGUGACAAACCCAAGGUCUAACUGAGAAAUGGCUUGAGAAAGACAUGUUGAAGAGGAAAAAUACGUUAAGGCUUGCCAAUCAGCUGACUGCAGCAGCAGCAGCAGCAGUGAUGCACAGAUCUGAUCUGCGUUGGCAAUAUACUUGUAAUUCGGACAUGCAUCUCCAGGACACCAGCCUUAGCAGGAAGGGGAGCCAGUCAAGGGGAAACAAUUAUGCAAAUUUAAAAUGUAAACUCUCUGGAGCCCCUGCCACAACCUGAUCUCUAUAAGAAUCAUGAUGUUUCCAAGGCAGCACAUGGUUUGGGGAAAUUGGAGAGAAUACUCCCGAUGGAAAGGGAUAACAUCACAGCUGCCACAACAAUGCUAUCCAGUGAGCAAAUGUCGGAUGUUCAGAGGGGCCAAGUCAUCUUGAUUAGAAUCGUGGAGGGCAGCAUCAGAUGGUAGCUGGCUUGUGGUUUACCUGGCCUUUGGUUAGAUAACUGUGCCUGAUCCCUAUGGCCAGGAAGGAAGGUAGGGUCAUGUACUACAAAUUUUGACCUUGUACAUGAGGAAUAUAAAGACAAAUUAGCCACCGCCAGAAUGACUAAAAUUAAAAAGACUGACAAGGAUGGUGAGGAUUUCACACAUUGCUCCAAAUUUCAGACAGUGCUAAUGAAAAUGAAGAUCUGUACAACAAAAGUACAGGCCUACCUCAGAGAUAUUGGAGUGUUCAGUUCCAGACCACGCAAUAAAGUGAAUAUCACAAUGAAGAGCUGAAGAACUCACAUUUGGGCUGAUGGGCCUGGGGUAGGGAUGACCAACAGACCACAUGCUUCUUGUCUCUUCUACUCCCUGAUCCUCUGAUAGACAGGGCUAAGUGAUCAUCCACUCCUCCCACCCUCCAGCCUCCGAGUGGGCCACUUUUCAAGCAUGGAAUUCCAGGAGGUGUUAACACUAUGGACGAGUGGGCAACUGGCUCUUCAGGCUUGGAACCAAGAGGGGGCAGCAGAGAGCAGAGAAGAACUGGUUGGCUUGGGCUGACCCAGACCUAGGAAAACUUCCAAUCUUCUUCUUCCCUCAAAACCGAAUCCUUGUGGACUCACUCCUGAGACUAUUGUCCCCACAAGUGGUGUGGUCCAAGGCCACAGCAAGAAAGGUCUGAGGGAGUUCUUUGGGGUUCAGGUGGAGAAAAGCCUGUGCUGGAUGCCAGGCUGCUCUGAAAACAGAAAGGAAGAUAAUAAUGUUAACAGCAACAGUUACAAUUACCCAGCCCCUGUAGGGUGCCAGGCCCUCUGCCAAGGUGCUUUCUUUUCAUUCUCUCAAAGAUUACUUGAGGUGGGGAAACCCCUAGUUUACAGAUGAGAAAACAGGGUCCCAGAGUGGUUAAACACCUUGCCCAUGAUCACAUGACUAAGGGAGGGUCAAGCCACAUUUUAGAAUCUUGCCUGUCCUGCCCUCUGUGUUAUGGUGCCCUUCCAGGAAGGAGGCAGAAAGGUGCACCUGGAGUUAGAAUAUCCUUGGGGAGUGUCCCGGACCCAAGGGAAGUCAAACGGUCCUUCUGGUACAGACUGCUGUCUCGUGAUGGCCACGGGUCUCCUGACAGAUUUAGCCAAUUCACUGGCUCACAGGUCCAUGCACCAUCCUCAGCAAAGCCGGGGUAAGGUAGCUGGGCUCGAACAGCCCCAGAAAAAGGCAAAAAGAAAGAAAACAGAAACUUGUAUGGAACUUUCAAGUACUCACUGCGGAAGUCAUUGAUUUAUCUGCCUACUGUGAGAGUUACGUCACGUUGGAAGGUCACAUUAGAAUGCCCCUCACCUCCUGCAGCCUCAGCUCCACCCUGGGCUCAGAGAUCAAUCCUGGCCUUAUUUAGGGAAGCACAUCCAAGCAUAUUUGAAACUUUUGGGAUGGACUUGGGGAUACUGGCACCAGGGACAUCUUGCUGUCAGUACUGUCCUGAUUCUGAGAACUCCACUAGUGCCACAUUCCUCAAUCCGAGCCUGGGUCUAGGACUCAGGCUGCUGCCUCACUAAAUGCCUUAUCUUUUGGGUCACUGCAGACCAGGGCCCUGCCUUCUUUAGCCAAUAUCUGUUUCGCUCAUCUGGCAGUAGGACAUCAGUCUACCAAAAGAGUCACAUGUUCAUAUCCCAGCUUAGGUCCAAGUUGUGAGCCAACUUCAUUUCUUAAUGUAAUCAAUCACUUUUUUGGUAUUGCUUUUUUUCUCUAAAAAGUAUGUAUGUUUUCUGAUCCUACGUGUAAUAUUUUCUGGGCCAGUUGCAGUGGCACACACCGGAGCUACUCAAGGAAGCUGAGUUGGGAGGAUCCCUUGAGCCCAGGAGUUUGAGGUUACAGUGAACUAUGAUUGUGUCACUGUACUCCAGCCUAGACAGCUAGCAAGACCCCAUCUCUUAAAAAAAAUUGUUAGAAAAUACAUUAAAGUAUCAAGGAGAAAAAAAUUUCUCCUAUCUUUCUGGAUUCAUUUUUCUCAACUGCACUUAUUACUAUCUAACACCGUCCUUUACUUAGGUUUUCAUUGUUUGUCUCCUUCUCUAGAAUGGGAGCUUGACAAGAUGAGGGAUUUCAUGUUUUGUUCACUGCAAGUUCCUUAAUUCCCAGAACAAUACCUGGCACAUUUACAGAAUGAAUGAAUGAAUUCAUAAUGCCAUGACAUCAGAUAUAAUUUUAUUUAAUAUUAUAGAGGGAGCAUUUUUCAAUGUCAAUAAAAUGUUUUCAAAAGCAUCA